AUUGAACGCUGGCGGCAGGCCUAACACAUGCAAGUCGAGCGAGCGGCGGACGGGUGAGUAAUGUCUGGGAAACUGCCUGAUGGAGGGGGAUAACUACUGGAAACGGUAGCUAAUACCGCAUACAAUCAGAUGUGCCCAGAUGGGAUUAGCUCGUAGGUGGGGUAAUGGCUCACCUAGGCGACGAUCCAUAGCUGGUCUGAGAAGAUGACCAGCCACAAUGGAACCUAUACCAGGGCCCUAACCCUACGGGAGGCAGCAGUGGGGAAUAUUGGACCAUGGGGGCAAGGCUGAUGCAGCCAUGCCGCGUGUGUGAAGAAGGCCUUAGGGUUGUAAAGCACUUUCAGCGGGGAGGCGUUACCCGCAGAAGAAGCACCGGCUAACUCCGUGCCAGCAGCCGCGGUAAUAC
rnacentral:rRNA from 1 species